rnacentral:rRNA from 1 species
UACGUAGGGGGCAAGCGUUGUCCGGAUUUAUUGGGCGUAAAGAGCGUGUAGGCGGCCAAACAGGUCAGCUGUGAAAACUCGAGGCUCAACCUCGAGACGUCGGUUGAAACCGUAUGGCUAGAGUCCGGAAGAGGAGAGUGGAAUUCCCGGUGUAGCGGUGAAAUGCGCAGAUAUCGGGAAGAACACCUAUGGCGAAGACAGCUCUCUGGGACGGUACUGACGCUGAGACGCGAAAGCGUGGGGAGCGAACAGG